rnacentral:lncRNA from 1 species
AUGGGUGUGGGGACGCUGCAUAGAACCACAGACUGGUCUGGCUUGGAAGGGACCUUAAAGCCCCCCCAGUCCCACCCCCCCUGCCCUGGUCAGGGCCCCCUGCCUCCACCCCUGGCUGCCCCCAGCCCCCCCAGCCUGGCCUUGGGCACUGCUGGGGAUGGGAAGAGCCACGGGGCCGUGCCCAGGGACACGGCAGGCUGUGGGGAUGCCGUGGGGAUGGCCCCCGGUCCCCGGGCCAGGCUCUCCUCCCUGCGAGCCCCCGGCCACCCCAGCUCGGGCCCUGCCCCGUCCGGCCCCCUCCAAGCUCAGCACCGGAGCCCCCCAUGCCCGGAGCCAUCCCUGGCCUGGCCUGCCCGGGGCCGGGGGUGCCGGGGGGGCUCCGGGCGCUGCAGCCCCUCGGGGGCAGGAGCUGCCGGUGGCCGGAUCCGGCCCUGGCAGGGCCCCGGCACACACGGGCCCCUUGUCUCGCCCCGGGGCCGCAGCCAGGCCCCGCUGCAGGAAGGGCAGAGACCCGGCGGCCCCGCACAAGCGGCCUUUGUUCCCCGCCGGCCGCUUCCUGAGCAGAUCUGGGGGGGGCCCCGGGGGCUGGCGUGGGCGACGAUGCCCGCGAGGCGGGGUGGCUCUGUCCCCAUCCUGUCCCGUCCCGUGCCGAGGGCGCGCGUUGGCCGCCAGCCUGGCCGCAGCCCCUUGGGGACGGUGCAAAGCCUCCCCCCACUUCCUAGGCCCCAGGAGCCUGCAGGCAGCAGGAUCCGGCCCCACGGCGACCCCCGGCCACUGCGCGGGUGCCCCACGCACCCCGCUGGCACCCGCCGGUCCCCGUGCCCCCAGGGUGCUGUCCCCACGGGGACCCCAGUGCCGCAGCGGGACGCUCCCUGUGCCUGGAGCUGCUGGGGCAGGGUCUGGCCACGGGGACCCCCUCGCAGGGCCGAGCUGCCCCCCCGGUGGGGACAGGGGGGAGCAGGGCUGGGACGAGGCGGGGACCCGGGGCAGGACGCGGAGCUGCAGCGGGACGCGGCCCUGCCCCGGCCCUGGGGCGCAGCGUGGGGAUGA